rnacentral:rRNA from 1 species
GAUCAUGGCUCAGGAUGAACGCUAGCUACAGGCUUAACACAUGCAAGCCGAGGGGCGUCAGUUUGGUUUGCUUGCAAACCAAAGCUGGCGACCGGCGCACGGGUGAGUAACACGUAUCCAACCUGCCUCAUACUCGGGGAUAGCCUUUCGAAAGAAAGAUUAAUAUCCGAUAGCAUAUAUUUCCCGCAUGGGUUUUAUAUUAAAGAAAUUCGGUAUGAGAUGGGGAUGCGUUCCAUUAGUUUGUUGGGGGGG